AGCGAAACGUUCUGGUGCCUCCGCUCCCGGAUUUGGCGACGCUGUUGCUGUCUCCUGCUGGUUUGGUCAGUAUCUUGGUCACUUCCAAAGCAGGGGCUCUGCAUCGUCAGGUUCUUCUGCGUCAUGGCACAUCGAACAGCCGUUCCUCCGCACUGACCCGGCACGGCAUCGUACCAUGGCGCCCACACCACACUGAUUGUCAUGGCGAGGCGGCGGGAGCUGAACCUUCGGCAAAACGCAUCGCCUUAACGCGCAAGGCAGCAAGGCUACGACUUCUUUGGUGCUCCAUUGUGGUCGCUGCUGCCUAAUUCUGUUCUGAGAAAACAACUUAGGUACUCUUACGGCAUAGCUACUUACCGCGAAUUUAGUAAGAAUUGGGUAGGAAUUGAUGUCAGGCACAGAAGAAAUGUGGAGAAUCGCUAACUGCCCGGUCUAUUAUAUUAGAAAUUAGGGCAGGAGAAGAUAACACAUGCAAAGUCAAUCUGGUUGUCACCGAUCUCUUUUCUAAGCUUUGCUCCGAGGAAAUUAAUUAUUCUGCACAAAGAAUCUAGGGCCGGAAUAUAAUAACACGAGACAUAAUGCUGUUUGGCCAAUUACAAAGGCGGGCGCCUCCAAAGAAAGAAGUGCGGCGGUUUGUUUCGGCAAUAAAAGAGAGCGCGUUAAACUGAAUCGGUGUGCAGUAGUAUAAAUGGUUCAGCUCACUCUGUAAGAUAUACAUGCGAUGAUUGUCUGGGAGAUUUGAUUACCUUGUCGAAGCCACAGCCCGCGUCGAUCUCAAGCACUAGUGCCGAUAAGAUAAAAAGCUUCUGCGGCAAGACGUAUGGAAGAAGGGAAGAUGGAUACGGCCUAUUCGAGAAAUGCAUUCAACACUGCUUGAGUGUUUGCCCCAUGAACACUCUUAUUUGUACGAGAACACUGAAGCAUUUUUAUGUUAAAUUUAUUUAAUGUUACUGUCUAAACGGAAACGUUCUGAAACAGAGUAGCUGGGCUUGAUUUCAAAUCUACGAACUCAGGUGACUGAAUUCUGGAGACUGAAAGGUCGACCACACGUGUUUGAGCUGAAGCUAAAUCAUAGCGAGUUUUAGCGACCUGUUUUCUAAGUUACAUUCCGUAUUUAUGUGCGCUCACUCUACCUUCCUGUGUGUUUUAUUUUAUUUCUGCUAUGAGCGAACUUUAGUACAUUUACGUCACCUGGCUUUAUGUCAGAUUUUGGGUUUUUACCUUUCUUUUGUUCAGUGCCGAAUUGUUGUUUAAUUUUAGUCUUUAUUCAUUCUAUGGGAAAAUAAGUGACCGGGGCUGGCUAAAGAUACCAACAUCUCCUGAAUAUCAAAUUAUCAUUAAAAAACAAGUUUAAGUGUUUGUCUUGUAGGGUAAGGUGAUGCAAAAUGUAUACGGAAUACAAGUCAAAGGAGCCUAUAAGUGGCAACUUUCUUUUUUUUUGCGUUCAUCUGUCCGCUCCUCAUUGGUUGGCUAAUAUGAUGGCGACCCAAGCUGCUUGAACACGCUUUAUUUGCAGCUACCUACAGUUAAACAUGCACGGAACAUCGAGGUGUGCAAAGAUGAAGAAGUGAAGCCUCCGGCUUCUGUUUCUUUAAUUUUUUCAAUGACUUAACAGCCGAAGGGAGGAAUAGUGACGACGGUAUACUUGUGUCGCUCUGCUUGAGAGUCUUAAUCUUUUCUUUUCAUUCAUGUUCUAUUUUGCGCCAGUGUGCACAGCGGUGCAUAUCGCAGCCUGAAGCCGACAAAUAUUGCAAUCUUUUCACGUUCUUAUUCAUCGAAAUAUCCUAUGAGAGAUGAUCCGGACCCAACGUACGAGUCCAGUAGCACGGCGAGUUUUCGCACGGCCACCUUUCAGUGAACUGUUUAGGGCAUGGUUGGA